rfam:Danio rerio chromosome 4, GRCz11 reference primary assembly.
GAAUUGUUGGUUCAGUGGUAGAAUUGUCGCCUGCCACGCGGGAGACCCGGGUCCGAUUCCCGGCCAACGCA